UCUCACUUCAAAGUUGCUUUAGCAGAAUAAGAACAUUGCUUUAUGUUGAAAAAUGGGAACAAUGAACACUGGCAGGAACAUACUACAGAGCAGUAUACAUUUACAGAAAUGCCAUCAAACCGCCUACAGGUGCUGUCAGUUAUGGCUCAUUAAUGACUCAAACUCUACUCCACAAUCCUUUGGUGGUGAUCCAAGUGAAUGAAACAAGUGAAGUGUCCAUCGCUGGUACACAGAUCCACAUAGAAUUUCAAAAAUAUUUUAAAGUGUAUUAGAGAUGGGAUGAGGUGGUUCACAAGGUUUUUUGAAGACUGGCAUUCAUCCCUUGGCCCAAAAAGCGUAUGUGCAAAAUACCACUGAAUGCUGUGAAAAAAUCCACUGGACUCCUGAACUUUACACUGGUUCAGGUUCACCUCUGUAUGUGUCUCUACCGAGCCUUUUCAAAUGCUAUGUCAUAAUGUAGCAUUGAGAAUUCGUGCUGGGCUUUGUCGUUUUGAAGCUUCCUCUGUUGAACUUGCUCCUGUUGUUGCUUUCUGUAAGGCUCUUGGCAGCAGUUCCCACCUUACCCUGUCCGUUUUGUGCCAGCCACUCAUGCACCACAAACAGUGGUAUUUUGAGGAUAUAGAGCUUCCUUUCCCUUCUUUUUUGCCCUUAUCAACAGUGACAUUGCUCAAAAAGUCAACAUUUAAAUAUAUCAAUAUUCAGUCAAUGCCUCUUCGACAUGAAUGAGACAAUUUACGUCAUUCUAAGACAGCUUUACAUUGCUCUUUGCAGAGCAAAGAUCCCACAUUUUGGGGAUCAUGGCCUACAUGACAGAGAAGAUGGCAGUUCCAGAGCAACAAGUCCACGCUAAGUUACAUUUUCUGAUUUGGACAAUAAUCCAACUCCCUGAGCAGCCUCCUAGUUUUGAAAAAAACAGCUUUUUCCUCAUCUUGCUUCUUCCUGAAGGAAGCACCAAAUCGUUUAAGCAUAAAUAUAAUCAGGAGCCUUGUCCCAGGCACAUCAUGCAGUUGACAGAGAAAAUAUCUCUUCACAGGACGAUUCUUCCCCCAUCAACUACCCUCAGGAGCUGUCAACAUCUCUCCAUUAACUAAAGAAAGUUCCCGUAACAACUAAACCUCUAAGUGAGGUAUCCUACAUAGAAAUGGUGACUCUGAGCCUACAUGCUUCUGUUAGUUGGGACCUAUAGACGUAGGUGAAAGUGCAGUAUUAAGCUAUGGCAACAACAUAGAAACAUUCUGAUGUUUCUGUAACAAAACAAGGGAAAAAGAUUGAUUUUGCACCCACAGACAAUGUCCCAUACCAUUGCAAACACAGCUGAUGGAUUUUCUUUCCACUAAAAAGCAAAAAAAAAGCAUAAACUGAAGGAGAUUGAGAGCAGUGCAUUGCAGCAUUUGGGUUACAACAUAUGACUCUUCAAACUCCUCCUUUCCACUCCAUAUCCUUUUGUUGUUCCUAGUUAUCACUCACACCCUUGAUUUAUCUUUUUGAUCUAGGAAAAAGUGCCCUCGCUGCUCCAUGGCUAGAAAGCAGGGCUUAUGAAGAGGAAUGUACCUUAUGAAAGAUUUGAUCACUUGUCUGCGCACCUUGGGGAACACAGACAUGACAAUAAAGUGAUCAUUGGACUAGGUAGAAUACUGGCA
rnacentral:lncRNA from 1 species